GACGAACGCUGGCGGCGUGCUUAACACAUGCAAGUCGAACGGAAAGGCGCCGUCUGCAGGGUACUCGAGGGGCGAACGGGGGAGUAACACGUGGGAGGUCUGCCCCGUACUCCGGGCUACUGCUUGGCAACUGGGACUAAUACCGGAUAGGGGCCAUUCUGAGUGUGAUGGUUGGAGAGUUUUUUCGGUGUAGGGUGAGGGCGCGGGCUAGGCGCGUGUUGUUGGGGUUAUGGCGUACCAAGGUGGCGACGGGUAGCCGGCCUGAGAGGGUGGACGGCCACAUUGGGACUGCGUUACGGACCAGACACCUACGGGUGGCAGACGUGGGGAGUAUUGCACAAGCGGCGACGGCCUGAUAGGGCGGCGCCGCGUGGGGGAGGACGGCCUUCGGGUUAUAGACGCCGUUCGCUAGGGACGGAGCUUUUUGUGACGGUACCUAGAGAAGAAGCGCCGGCUAACUACGUG
rnacentral:rRNA from 1 species